AUACGAAGGGUGCAAGCGUUAAUCGGAUUUAUUGGGCGUAAAGGGCGCGUAGGCGGAUAAGUAAGUCAAAUGUGAAAUCUCUGGGCUCAACCUAGAAACUGCAUUUGAAACUGCUCAUCUUGAGGAUAGGCGGAGAAAGUGGAAUUCCAUGUGUAGCGGUGAAAUGCGUAGAUAUCAGGAAGAACACCAGUGGCGAAGGCGGCUUCCUGGACCAAUACUGACACUGAGGUGCGAAAGCGUGGGGAGCAAACAGGAUUAGAAACCCCAGUAGUCC
rnacentral:rRNA from 1 species